AUGUGAAAGCCCGGGGCUCAACCUCGGAACCGCAUUUGAAACUGGCAGGCUAGAGUCUUGUAGAGGGGGGUAGAAUUUCAGGUGUAGCGGUGAAAUGCGUAGAGAUCUGAAGGAAUACCAGUGGCGAAGGCGGCCCCCUGGACAAAGACUGACGCUCAGAUGCGAAAGCGUGGGUAGCAAACAGGAUUAGAUACCCUGGUAGUCCACGCCGUAAACGCUGUCUACUUGGAGGUUGAGGUUUAGACUUUGGCUUUCGGCGCUAACGCAUUAAGUAGACCGCCUGGGGAGUACGGCCGCAAGGUUAAAACUCAAAUGAAUUGACGGGGGCCCGCACAAGCGGUGGAGCAUGUGGUUUAAUUCGAUGCAACGCGAAGAACCUUACCUACUCUUGACAUCCAGCGAAGCCUUUAGAGAUAGAGGCGUGCCUUCGGGAGCGCUGAGACAGGUGCUGCAUGGCUGUCGUCAGCUCGUGUUGUGAAAUGUUGGGUUAAGUCCCGCAACGAGCGCAACCCUUAUCCUUGUUUGCCAGCACGUAAUGGUGGGAACUCCAGGGAGACUGCCGGUGAUAAACCGGAGGAAGGUGGGGACGACGUCAAGUCAUCAUGGCCCUUACGAGUAGGGCUACACACGUGCUACAAUGGCAGAUACAGAGGGCAGCGAAGCUGCGAAGUGGAGCGAAUCCCUUAAAGUUUGUCGUAGUCCGGAUUGGAGUCUGCAACUCGACUCCAUGAAGUCGGAAUCGCUAG
rnacentral:rRNA from 1 species